rnacentral:rRNA from 1 species
GUGUCAGCAGCCGCGGUAAUACGUAGGUGGCAAGCGUUGUCCGGAAUUAUUGGGCGUAAAGCGCGCGCAGGCGGUCUUUUAAGUCUGAUGUGAAAGCCCCCGGCUCAACCGGGGAGGGUCAUUGGAAACUGGAGGACUUGAGUACAGAAGAGGAGAGUGGAAUUCCACGUGUAGCGGUGAAAUGCGUAGAGAUGUGGAGGAACACCAGUGGCGAAGGCGACUCUCUGGUCUGUAACUGACGCUGAGGCGCGAAAGCGUGGGGAGCGAACAGGAUUAGAUACCCUGGUAGUCCACGCCGUAAACGAUGAGUGCUAAGUGUUAGAGGGUUUCCGCCCUUUAGUGCUGCAGCUAACGCAUUAAGCACUCCGCCUGGGGAGUACGGUCGCAAGACUGAA